rnacentral:rRNA from 1 species
GUUAAGUGGGAAACGAUGUGGGAAGGCCCAGACAGCCAGGAUGUUGGCUUAGAAGCAGCCAUCAUUUAAAGAAAGCGUAAUAGCUCACUGGUCGAGUCGGCCUGCGCGGAAGAUGUAACGGGGCUAAACCAUGCACCGAAGCUGCGGCAGCGAACGUAUCACCCAAGACAACUUUACGGAGUUGACGAUUGACGGAGCGAAGCGACGUCAAAGCGUUCAUUAAAGUCGAGUUGGCUUAGGGAUACGUUCGUUGGGUAGGGGAGCGUUCUGUAAGCCUGUGAAGGUGUGUCGUGAGGCAUGCUGGAGGUAUCAGAAGUGCGAAUGCUGACAUAAGUAACGAUAAAGCGGGUGAAAAGCCCGCUCGCCGGAAGACCAAGGGUUCCUGUCCAACGUUAAUCGGGGCAGGGUGAGUCGACCCCUAAGGCGAGGCCGAAAGGCGUAGUCGAUGGGAAACGGGUUAAUAUUCCCGUACUUGGUGUUACUGCGAAGGGGGGACGGAGAAGGCUAUGUUGGCCGGGCGACGGUUGUCCCGGUUUAAGCGUGUAGGUGUGUGUUCCAGGUAAAUCCGGUUCACUUUAACACUGAGGCGUGA